CGCCUCCCCGCGCAUCUCAGAGCAGCACCAGCAUCAGCAGGGGCAAGGAGAAGGCGAAGAAGAGGCAGUAGGAAAGAAGUAACCAAGCAAGGUCCCGUGGAAGACAGUUGCAAGACUCCUAUCAACUUUGAAGGGGCAGCAUUAGGCCCAAGGGAGUCCAUGAAGAGGUCUACACUGAAGUCACAGCUUUCAUAAACAAAUAGCAUCAGUAACAAAAAAGGAGGCAAAACAGAUUUCGGCAUGGGACCAUCAGAGAUACUGGGAACAAAGGCUGGAUGGCACUUCAUGGGACCUCAAGUCUAGACCCCUGUAUUCACAGGCAACCUUGUAUCCAGAGUCCUAAAAAUCAUCUGCCCCAGUCCCUCACAAACUACAGCCAUGUAGCACAAUGUGGGGGGGAUAAGAACACCCAGCAACAUGCAACAGGUGGAAGAACAUCUUAUCCCAGGAAUGCUCAUGAAAUUGAAACACCACCUGGAGAAGCACCUCUUCCAUGGCAGCUCAGCUGAACUCUUCAAGUUCAUCUGUUACAACCACUUAGAACCUGAUUUCUCCGGGCUACAUAAACCAACGUAUGACAAGGGCUGCUACUUCUAUAGCUUGCAAGCUAUUCCCAUUACCUUACCUUGCCAGCAAGGGAGGGUUAUGCUAUGUAUUCCUGACUAAGGUUUUGGUAAGCAAGGUAGCCCCUGAAAAGAAACACCUUCACCCAUCCCUUCCCCUGGGUGGCAUUAGUACGAUUCACGGGUCAACAGCAAAAGGAGCCCCAAAAAUCUAUGCAGUCUUUGAAGACUGCCAAUGCUACCCAUACUUCCUCAUCUCCUACAAGGUACUCUCUGAUCCUAUACCAAUAGAUGGUUAAUCGUGAGAGAAACAGACAGAGAGACAGAGAUAGCAGCAGAUGGUUAAUCAUGAGAGAGAAAGAAAGAGAGAGAGAGAGAGAUACAUAGCUUUAUAGGUAGAUAGAUCUGAGAGUAAGAAUCAGAAUUUUCUUGUAUUUAGAAUAAUUUAAAAUAAAAUUGGCUUAUGUAUUUAA